UGGGGGAUUUUGGACAAUGGGCGCAAGCCUGAUCCAGCAAUGCCGCGUGCAGGAUGAAGGCCUUCGGGUUGUAAACUGCUUUUGUACGGGAAGAAACACUCCUUCGUGAAGGAGCUUGACGGUACCGUAAGAAUAAGCACCGGCUAACUACGUGCCAGCAGCCGCGGUAAUACGUAGGGUGCGAGCGUUAAUCGGAAUUACUGGGCGUAAAGCGUGCGCAGGCGGUUAUAUAAGACAGAUGUGAAAUCCCCGGGCUCAACCUGGGACCUGCAUUUGUGACUGUAUAGCUAGAGUACGGUAGAGGGGGAUGGAAUUCCGCGUGUAGCAGUGAAAUGCGUAGAUAUGCGGAGGAACACCGAUGGCGAAGGCAAUCCCCUGGACCUGUACUGACGCUCAUGCACGAAAGCGUGGGGAGCAAACA
rnacentral:rRNA from 1 species